ensembl:Y_RNA Y_RNA Y RNA
GGCUGGUCUCAGUGCAGUGGUAUUUACAACUAAUUGAUCACAACCAGGUACAGAUUUCUUUGUUCCUUCUUCACUCCCACGUUUCCCUUGAUUAACCUUAA